GACGUAGGGUGCGAGCGUUAAUCGGAUUGACUGGGCGUAAAGCGUGCGCAGGCGGCCCGUUAAGACAGGUGUGAAAUCCCUGGGCUCAACCUAGGAAUUGCGCUUGUGACUGGCGGGCUCGAGUACGGUAGAGGGGGGUGGAAUUCCUGGUGUAGCAGUGAAAUGCGUAGAGAUCAGGAGGAACACCGAUGGCGAAGGCAGCCCCCUGGGCCUGUACUGACGCUCAUGCACGAAAGCGUGGGGAGCAAACAGG
rnacentral:rRNA from 1 species